rnacentral:misc_RNA from 1 species
GAUGAAGAACGUAGCGAAAUGCGAUAAGUAGUGUGAAUUGCAGACUUUAGUGAAUCAUCGAAUCUUUGAACGCACAUUGCGCCCCCUGGUAUUCCGGGGGGCAUGCCUGUCCGAGCGUCAUUGCUGCCCUCAAGCACGGCUUGUGUGUUGGGCCCCGCCCCCCGGCUCCCGGGGGGCGGGCCCGAAAGGCAGCGGCGGCACCGCGUCCGGUCCUCGAGCGUAUGGGGCUUCGUCACCCGCUCCGUAGGCCCGGCCGGCGCCCGCCGGCGACCCCCCUCAAUCUUUUCAGGUUGACCUCGGAUCAGGUAGGGAUACCCGCUGAACUUAAGCAUAUCAAUAAGCGGAGGA